rnacentral:lncRNA from 1 species
CUCAUUUUCUCUUGCUGCUGCCAUGUAAGAAGUGCCUUUUGCCUCCUGCCAUGAUUCUGAGGCCUCCCCAGCCAUGUGGAACUGGCUCAGUGUGGUCAAAAGAAGACUAUAGAAUCAAGGAUGAAGAGAAGGAACACAGAAUAAAAGGACGUCUCAGCAGGAAGCUCUGUGACUACUAUGUAAUUCUUACAAUACAGCAAAUGAUGCCAUACAGUGAAGCACCUUGAAAGAUUGCUGGGAUAAGCUGACAGCAUGGCAGCCAAAAUAGUGACCCCAGGCUUGCAGGAAUUCUGUGCUUUCUGGAGGAAAUGGUCAUGGGUUUCCCAACCUGCCUUUUAAACUAAGGACCGAGCUGAAGAAGCCCCCGUCUUCCAGCGCAUGUUAUUCCCAUGACAGAUGCUAAAAGUUCAAGGGGAGAGCUACAAGAAGUGCGUUUUCCUGUGGCUACUUUCAUGUCUGGAUGCAAUGCCUAGACCUGCAUCCAUCUUGCGACCAACCUGAAGAUGAACAGAAAGGAAGGAAGGAUGGCCCAAUAGCCUGGGAAGAACUGGUGUUCCUGAUACCAUCAUUAACCACAGAAUCUACAAUCCCGGAACCCCCCAUCCUUAACCAUGGAAUCUACAAUCCUAUCUCUAGACCCUUUGUCCAGAUGCUACAGUUUCUUUGUUCAAUCUAGUUUGUGUCAGGAUUUCUGUUCAUUACAUCAAAAGUAUUCUAAUACUUGUAGCAAAGCAACUGGAGAAGUUUUCACUUUGUCUUUAACCAAAGAAGACUUCCAGGAAACAUCUCCUCAGUGGGUUUCUCCCUCACCACUGGAUUUUUAUCUCUGUACUAGUGCUUUGAUUUGUUUUAGGAGUCUCACCUCUCCACCUGUCAUAUUUCCCUGGCAGGCUCAUUUCUGCUAAUGCCCACAAUAUGUGUAUCAAUGAGCUUUCAACGUUAGGUACACAGCUCUUCAGGCAUGUAUAGCACAUUAAUCUGUCUGCUUCUAAGUGGUCUGUUGACAUGUUUGGGUGCCAGUUAUAUCUACAAGGCUGUGAUCAUUGUCCUGGGUUAUUCUGUUUGUUCUCUCUGCAGGAUGCAUUAGGACACCCAAGGCCAUGGCCAUCACUUACAUCUAGGAUUCAAUCUUAUCUCCUGUGAAUCACUGGAAACCUCCUGUCCUGGAACCCUUUUUUUCCACAUCCCACUGGAUGUCAUUCAUAGCAACUGGUCUUGUGGGUUGUCUAUUUUAUUGUGUUGUCUUACUCUUCCUCCUGGUAUCAGUUUUUAAAUCCUCUUGAUGAGAUCAGCUGAUCAGUCGCUAAGCAACAUAGUCCCCCAUGUCUUUGUAAGAUUCUCUGCACUCAUGGCUAGAAUGAUUUAUUCUGGUAUCUUAAGCUGUGUUUCAGAACCUCAUUCUAAAUAUCAACCUAUUCUUGUAAGUCCACUACUGAUCAUCUUUAGAUAUUCUUCAGUCUUCCAGAGUUCCAAAGGGCAGUAGGAAGAAGCAAUGAAAAUACCACCUGUAUUCUCACAUCUUUCAUUGUUCCACUCAAAAAAUACCACCAUGUUCACUUCUGGUGGAACGUUUAUGUCCAUGAGAAGCAGUGGCUUUGAAGAGUUUUGGCAGACUAUGGCGCCUUACUCAACAUUGGGAAGGUAUCUUGCCAUCAGACCUUUUGGGUCUCCAUGAAACUUCUUAUACCCCCUCUGGGAAAAGUCACUAACUGUGAUCUUACUGAGCUUCUAAACACAGCAUUUUUUUUACACUUAAGUGAGCGGGGGUCCUCCUCAUUUGUGCUUCUCUUCUUGUAAGGGUGACUUCCUCCCAGUAGGAUGAAUCUCAUGCCUAUUUGUGUUAUUUUGCUAAUUCCAGCUUCUUUUCUACUCAGGGGGGUUCCAACUCUUUUAAGGUCUCAUCUUCAGCACUUCUAAACUGUGGGAAACUAUGUGAAAACAAAUGGAGUGGCCAAACACACCAUUCAUCACUGUGCUUCUGGACAGCUGCAAGUCCAUACGUGUUCUGGUGAGUCUUCAGGUUGUACGGGAACAGAGGCUGAAUCAAGGCAGUUCAGUGAGAGUCUAGAUGGGAGUGCUUAUGGUGUUCUAUAAUAAAGUACUUAUGGAACAAUAAUAGAAAUGGAUUCUUAGAGAAGCCCAAGAGAAGGAACUAUGAUUGCCUCAUUUCCCUGACAUUUCUAAGUUUGGUGGCAUAAUCUAAUUGACCCAACCCACCUUGGGGUGCCAGGCCAUGUCAUAAGUCACUGGACAGCCCAUAAACAGCUUUCUGGGAGCAUGUCCCCAUCUUGAUCCAAUCACCUGUGGCCAGGACAUUUUACAAACCUCGGUGGUUAGGGCUGCUUGUUCAACAGAUAUUAGGGGUGAAGUUGUACAUGCAUGCAGGGGAGGCUGAGAUGGUAGGCACCGUGAAUAACAUGUUCCAGGGUGGGCUCUGCCUCUUGUCUGCUCUGUAACAUACCCCUGCUUCCUUGUCCUGACCUCUCAUUUGCUAAAGUCUGAUUUCCAGCUUUGAAGUCUCUGCUCAAUCUCUCCAGCCUUCUGCUCAUGUCUUCACCUCCUACCUUGCAGCCUGUCUUUUGACUUGAUGUUGCUUGACUGCAAUUCCUGUGACUUGGCCUUGGGGUCCACUCCCAUGAAAUGCUUCUCUGGCAGCCUUGGCAGGUGUGUCCCAGUGUUCCUGAGUUCCAGUGUUCCUGGCUGUGUCCUUGCACCAGAGCAGGCUGCUUGAGAUUAGACACGCUCCUCCCUCCUAUCAGUCCACCUUGGCUCUGACACUUUCCUCAGCCUCCUUUUCUUUGUCUGCUGGAGCACAGCAAAGUUUCCCAGAAGGUUUAAAUUUACAUUCUUGGUCAAGGUCUCACACCAUCAUGACACUGAAGCAGAUAGAGUGACUUCCUUCUCUUCUAAGCUGUGUGCAUGCCUCCAUGCCCCUACUAGUUUGUAUAAUUCCAGUUUCUAUAAUUUCUUCCAUUCUUUCCUGAAACUUUGUGCUUUCUGUUAAAGUAGGUUUUUAGGGAUAUUUUUCAGGUCGGUUCAUCCCUCUGAAUGUCUUGGGUUUGUCUGAUUGAAGCCAAAUGGACACAGUGAGUGUUUCCUUUCUGAGUGGAGGGAGGUGGCUCUUGCAUCACCUUUGGGUCCUUUAGAGCUUUAGAGUAAAUGCUCAAAGACUGCCCACAGCUGGAUUUGCUGGCUGUGAAUUAGAUCUGGGAGGAGAGGACUUAGCAGGAAAAAGCUUCUGUAUCUAAUGCUGAAAUCAGAGAUGAAGUCUGAACAGAAGUGCGACAUCCAAGAGUCAGGGGCGGGAUGUAGGAGGUGCAUGGGAUGACAGGGGCGGGGCUCUGAUCUGAGAAGGGCAGUUUCAAUGUGCACAGCAGAGCACUGGGGAGGGGAUGUGUUGUUCCAUACAAGCUGAUGGAAGUUGAUAGAAGAAUAGGAACAAGGCUUGGAUGGUGGCAAAAGACCUACCUGCACCAAUGUGAAAAAAGGGGCCCUUUCAAGGCUGAGCCAGGUUGGAAGAGGGCAGAGCUGCUUCCAGGACACCAGAGAGUGCAGCAAGUAUGCAGAGAAAACCUGGGCACCAAGAGACCUGGGAGAGAGGAGGCAGAUGGGUGGGCCAAAGUUCUGGUAGUUGGGAAAGGUGAUAGAAAGCACUGCAUUAAUGCUGGGUCCUCUGCCCUUGUACUAAGAGCAGCACAUGGCUGCCUCUGAAUCCUGCCCAUGGAGUAACAUUUGCUUCCAUAUGCCACAAAGAUGAGAUGGGGCCCUGAUGUGCCUGUUAUAGGAGGGCAGAGCAUCCUGUGUGCUCUGUGAGAAGAGCUGGGCCACGUAUCUCCAGGUCAAAGCCCGCACAGCAGUUAUCCCCUCCCUCUCUUGUAUCUUCAACCUUUCCUUUCCUAUUGGGAAGGAUUUCCGUAUUUCCAAGAGCCUGCUCAAGUGGGGUCAGCAUGUGUCUCUGGUCACCACCCUCUCCCCUGUGGAAGGCUGACAACUCUCCCAUCUAUACAAAAUUUGAAACCACCAAUUAUAUGAUUGACACUAUUACACUGGAACAAUUUCCUGUCAGACUCCCCCACCAGACUCUUUACAGGCCGGUGCUUCAUCUACAUCUCUCUGUCCACAGCACUUGGUGUAGUAUUCGCAACCUAGCAGGAAUGAAAGAGUCCGUGUGGAGUCAAGCACCUCAGGGAACCCCUUGAAAGCAGUGACACAUACCUCCAACAAGAAUUGCCUCUUCCUUCCUUCUGUGGCUUUGCACAGCAUUUUUCUUUAAUUAUAAACACAGUUGGUCUCUCUAUGCUGUUUAGGCUAAGCACAGCACAGCUUCAAACUGGAAGGUUAAAUAUUUGUGGUAAAAAUAACUUAUUUGUGCCCAUGCAAAUGUGGCAACACAAACUCAGGCAUGUAGUGUUCUAUGCAGAGAAGCUAAAACCAAGGAAUGACAUUAAUUUCCGGUGAAAAUAUGUGAUGACAAUCUUAGAAUUCUGGCUUUUCAGAAAAAAAAAAAA